CCUACGGGGCGCACCAGUGGGGAAUAUUGCACAAUGGGCGCAAGCCUGAUGCUGCCAUGCCGCGUGUAUGAAGAAGGCCUUCGGGUUGUAAAGUACUUUCAGCGGGGAGGAAGGCGUUGUGGUUAAUAUCCACAGCAAUUGACGUUACCCGCAGAAGAAGCACCGGCUAACUCCGUGCCAGCAGCCGCGGUAAUACGGAGGGUGCAAGCGUUAAUCGGAAUUACUGGGCGUAAAGCGCACGCAGGCGGUCUGUCAAGUCGGAUGUGAAAUCCCCGGGCUCAACCUGGGAACUGCAUUCGAAACUGGCAGGCUAGAGUCUUGUAGAGGGGGGUAGAAUUCCAGGUGUAGCGGUGAAAUGCGUAGAGAUCCGGAGGAAUACCGCUGGCGAAGGCGGCCCCCUGGACAAAGACUGACGCUCAGGUGCGAAAGCGUGGGGAGCAAACAGGAUUAGAUACCCUAGUAGUC
rnacentral:rRNA from 1 species